AGGACGAACGCUGGCGGCGUGCCUAAUACAUGCAAGUCGAACGGUCUUUCUAUGGAAGCUUGCUUCCACUGAGAAGAUAGUGGCGAACGGGUGAGUAACACGCGGGUAACCUGCCCAUAAGAGGGGGAUAACAUCCGGAAACGGGUGCUAAUACCGCAUAGUUUUCUUGAUCGCAUGAUCGGGAAAGGAAAGACGGCCUUUGUGCUGUCGCUUAUGGAUGGACCCGCGGCGUAUUAGUUAGUUGGUGAGGUAACGGCUCACCAAGACGAUGAUACGUAGCCGACCUGAGAGGGUGAUCGGCCACAUUGGGACUGAGACACGGCCCAAACUCCUACGGGAGGCAGCAGUAGGGAAUCUUCCGCAAUGGACGAAAGUCUGACGGAGCAACGCCGCGUGAGUGAAGAAAAGGUUUUCGGAUCGUAAAACUCUGUUGUCAGAGAAGAACAAGUUGGAGAGUAACUGCUCCAGCCUUGACGGUAUCUGACCAGAAAGCCACGGCUAACUACGUGCCAGCCGCUGC
rnacentral:rRNA from 1 species